GAGCGGCAAAAGCUCAAAUUUGAAAUUCCUUCGGGAAUUGUAUUUUGAAGGUGGGUUUGGUUAGGAAAAGUUACUUUAAGUCCAUUGGAAAAUGGCGCCAUGGAGGGUGAUAGCCCCGUAAAAGUAUCCCUUUUUCUUUUUUUCCUUUCCUCCAAAAAAUCCAAGUGGUUGGGAAUGGCGCUCUAAGUGGGUGGUAAAUUCCAUCUAAAGCUAAAUAUUGGCGAGAGACCGAUAGCGAACAAGUACAGUGAUGGAAAGAUGAAAAGCACUUUGAAAAGAGAGUGAAAAAGUACGUGAAAUUGUUGAAAGGGAAGGGCUUGCAAGCAGACACAACCUCGGUUGGGCCAGCAUCGGAGUGGGGGGAGACAAAAAAGAAAAGGAAUGUAACUCUUUCGAGUAUUAUAGCCUUUUUCUCAUAUCUCCACCCCCUUCCGAGGCCUGCG
rnacentral:rRNA from 1 species